UACGAAGGGGGGCUAGCGUUGUUCGGAAUUACUGGGCGUAAAGGGUGCGUAGGUGGUUGUAUAAGUUAUCUGUGAAAUCCCCGGGCUCAACCUGGGCAGGUCAGAUAAGACUGUAUGACUCGAGUAUAGGAGAGGGUAGUGGAAUUUCCGGUGUAGCGGUGAAAUGCGUAGAGAUCGGAAGGAACACCAGUGGCGAAGGCGGCUACCUGGCCUAAUACUGACACUGAGGCACGAAAGCGUGGGGAGCAAACAGG
rnacentral:rRNA from 1 species